rnacentral:tRNA from 1 species
GAAGGAAUAGCUCAGCAGUAGAGUGUGUGCUUAGCAAGCAUGUGGUCCUGAGUUCAAUCCCCAGUGCCUCCA